ACCUGGAUAGGCGCUCAGUUCGAAUGAACAGCAGCAAAGUGACGACAGACCUUUAUCUAUGGCAAAAGGCUUCUCCGCCUCCUCCUGAUGGAGACCCCUGGCUUAGCAAGUUAGCCUGUAGCACAAAAAUGGCAGGAGAGGAGGAUGCGUGAUGAACGGCGUCGUCCAGCGUCACUGUUUCAGCACCGCGGAGAGCAUGACGUCUGCCCAGAUGAAUGCUGCUGCUGUCCCCCUUUUUGACCUCUGACUGGUUGGUGUUUCAUUUGUGGGAAACAGAACGUGAGGAAGACUAGUUUGGUGAAUACUGCAAAUGUUCUCCGAAUAAGAAAGACACCCAGAUCAGCUCACCCCAACAUGCAGCAGAAAAUUUACCAGGAGACUGGCAGAAUUUUUUUAGGUAGUCAUUUUAAUAAAAAAAUCAUGCUGAAAA